UGUGAUCAAGUGACCAUAGAUAUGUGGGUUCAUUUCUGGGUCUUCAAUUCUAUUCCAUUUGUCUACUUUUCUGUCGUUAUACCAGUACCAUGCCGUUUUUAUACUUAUGUAUGUACAUAUAUUCAUGUAACAAUUAAUGAGAAAAAGAAGCCAUCAGUUUGGAAGAGAACAGGGAGAGGAACAUAGGAGGGUUUGGAGUAAAGGGGGAGGAAUGUUGUAAUUACAUUCUAAUGUUAAAUAAAAGGGAUAACUAAAAAAUACAAAAUAAACAAAUAAAAAUGAGAAACAAAAACUUUCCAUGAGGCCUCCACGCCCAGCAGUCCCAGUGCAGAGUCAGAGAAAUGAGAGAGCCCAAAACAGGGGGCUUGCCUUCCCUGCGAGGCUGGCUGGCAGUGAGCUCCUGGGGUCUGCCUGUCUCUGGGAUUAUAGAUACUCAUGGCCAGACCCAGCAUUUACUUAUGUACUGGGGAUUUUCUCCUUCAGUUUUCAAGUUUAUAAAUUUCAUGAAAGUUGGUUUAGUAGUACAUUAAGCUAAUUUGUUUCUAAUAUAAGCCAUGCCUCAUACGCCUUACAAAAUCACAACUUGCUGACAAUGAGAAACGUAUCCCAUGCACACACUGCCAGACUCAGACAACUACACACAUGAUGCUGCCCAGCAGCUGUCCAUCCAGGUCGGGUCAUGUGACCCUCACACAGAGAGUUCUUCUGUCUGCCUAUUUACUACGUGUCUGGGGACAUCAUGAAGGCCCAAGUAGAUGCCCCACACAUCGUGGGUUUGCUCUUAGCUUAGGAGCCUGGCUUUUAUUGUAAGCCUGCUCUUCAUCCCCAAGAGGACACUAUUUCAUCCCUCACAGCUGAGCUCUGCAAACACAAUCCAAGGAAAUGGCCUUGCCGAUAGCCGACAGGGACUGGCAUUCUUGCUUGCAGCGAAAAACCAAGGCUGGGCCAGAGUGGAUGCUUCCCUGACCAGGCUACCUCCUCUGCCCACAUGUUCUUGCCCUAACAUUUUACCAGUGAAUAUUCUGAAAUGUCCCACCAUGGUCAUGAAGUGACCUAUGUCCAUUUGUCACCCUCUCAUCUGCUGAGGUUCCAUUAGGAAUGCUGAGGUGUGACGCCACUCCAUCUGCCUGGUCAUUGUCAAAUGAUGUUUACCUCUAGGGAUCCGUGUGGCCUCAUGGUCUACUUUAUCUGAUGAUAAUACAGCCAUGCCAGCUUUGCUUUGGUUGGCAUUUAGACGGUUUAUCUUCAAACCAGAACCUUUAGUUCAUUUUACCUUACUGUGUAUUGUACAGGUGUGUGCAUCUGUAUCUUGUGCUGUUUGUUCUGGCUGAUUAACGGGCGAUUCCUCUCCAUUGCCUUACUGUUUGUUCUGUCUGUCCACUAGCUACACCAACUCCAGCAGCAGAGAAGGCUUUCCCUGCCUCUGUAGGGAAACUUUGUAACCUUUGCAAAUAUUGUAUACCCUCAAUGCUUGCAAGUGACCUGGCCCUGCCUGAGGAGGUCUAGCAGCUAGGCCAUACAAGGCUAAGAGAGCUGUAAUUGCCUUCCAGACCCUCAAGGUGGGGAAGUGAUCAGGUCCUACCCCAAGAUGCCCCUAAGGGCCCUAAAUGGUCAUUCUCUAAUGGCCUGAGGCCAGAGAGCAGCCAGACUCUGCCCCAGAAG
rnacentral:lncRNA from 1 species